AGUGAACGCUGGCGGUAGGCCUAACACAUGCAAGUCGAACGGCAGCACAGUAAGAGCUUGCUCUGACGGGUGGCGAGUGGCGGACGGGUGAGGAAUACAUCGGAAUCUACUUUUUCGUGGGGGAUAACGUAGGGAAACUUACGCUAAUACCGCAUACGACCUACGGGUGAAAGCAUGGGAUCUUCGGACCUUGCGCGAUUGGAUGAGCCGAUGUCGGAUUAGCUAGUUGGCGGGGUAAAGGCCCACCAAGGCGACGAUCCGUAGCUGGUCUGAGAGGAUGAUCAGCCACACUGGAACUGAGACACGGUCCAGACUCCUACGGGAGGCAGCAGUGGGGAAUAUUGGACAAUGGGCGCAAGCCUGAUCCAGCCAUACCGCGUGGGUGAAGAAGGCCUUCGGGUUGUAAAGCCCUUUUGUUGGGAAAGAAAAGCAGCAGGUUAAUACCCCGCUGUUCUGACGGUACCCAAAGAAUAAGCACCGGCUAACUUCGUG
rnacentral:rRNA from 1 species